rnacentral:rRNA from 1 species
CACAGGGGAGCUUGCUCCCCGGGUGACGAGUGGCGGACGGGUGAGUAAUGUCUGGGGAUCUGCCCGAUGGAGGGGGAUAACUACUGGAAACGGUAGCUAAUACCGCAUAACCUCGAAAGAGCAAAGUGGGGGACCUUCGGGCCUCACACCAUCGGAUGAACCCAGAUGGGAUUAGCUAGUAGGUGGGGUAACGGCUCACCUAGGCGACGAUCCCUAGCUGGUCUGAGAGGAUGACCAGCCACACUGGAACUGAGACACGGUCCAGACUCCUACGGGAGGCAGCAGUGGGGAAUAUUGCACAAUGGGCGCAAGCCUGAUGCAGCCAUGCCGCGUGUAUGAAGAAGGCCUUCGGGUUGUAAAGUACUUUCAGCGGGGAGGAAGGGAUGAAGGUUAAUAACCUUCGUCAUUGACGUUACCCGCAGAAGAAGCACCGGCUAACUCCGUGCCAGCAGCCGCGGUAAUACGGAGGGUGCAAGCGUUAAUCGGAAUUACUGGGCGUAAAGCGCACGCAGGCGGUUUGUUAAGUCAGAUGUGAAAUCCCCGGGCUCCACCUGGGAACUGCAUUUGAAACUGGCAAGCUUGAGUCUCGUAGAGGGGGGUAGAAUUCCAGGUGUAGCGGUGAAAUGCGUAAGAUCUGGAGGAAUACCGGUGGGGAAGCGGCCCCUGGACAAGACUGGCGCUCAG